GCGAUGCUGGGUACUCAUGUUGCUUGAAAUAUUCAGUGCUAUUUCCCCCCACCCCUACCAAUUAACAUUAAAACAAUAUUUAUGAGUGUAUGCAAUUAUUUUUAAGAUAAUCAUUAUAGUUCCCCGUCUUCUCCCCCUUAAUGAAAAGCUUAAUUAAGCUCCUUUUUGUCAUCUACAUAUAUAAAUUCAUAGCAAUUAAAAUUAUUCUUUUUUAAUUUGAAAGAAAAUUAUUUUUUCGUCAUUAAGUGAGUCUCAUAAUCGUCUGUACAUAUUUAGUGACUAGUUUCAAUUAUGAUGAAAGUAAUGAAUUUAAAGAAUAAAAUAAAUGAAGAUCCAUUUACUAAUGUUUAGGCCCAUUAGAUAUAGUAGAUUUCCUACAUUAACUCAUUAGAUUCACUCAAACUGUACAUUAGUAUAAAGUUGUAGGUUAGGGUAACUCAGAUGUCUCAAAUCCCUUCUCUUUUCAUUUAUUCGUUAGAUCCUCCAAAGUAGAUACACUUUAUAUAACUAUUAGAAAAACGAGUUAUUUUUAAAUACAGAAUGGUCAAGGUAAAUUAGGAAAUUUUAAAAGGUUUAUAACGAACGAAUUGGAUGGGGUAAAGUUAUAAUUUUUUGAUUAUUUGAAAGCUACAUUUAAUUACAUUCAAUUAUUUUUAAUGAGAUUUGCCCUUCUGGAUAACCUCGGCCAUGUGAAGCUGGGAGCUUUUGCAGGCCCGAUCGACCUCGUUCGGAUCCAGCUUUGUAAUUGUAAUGGUUCUGGAUUUGCACUUUUAAUGACACAUGCUCUAAAUCGAUGGAGUAACCCAAAGAGAAGAACUUACACCUUCCAACAGCAACAUGUACCGGCUUGCAAGACCAAAAAAGUGCAGGAUGUCUUGUCACAAAAAUGUACUCACUUAUAGAGACCAGACCUGAACCUAUGUGAUUUCUAUCUCUGGGAGAGGAUCGAUCAUGAGGCAUGUGGCAUCACUAAAGUUGUAGAAAAUAUGACCCUAGACGAGACUGAUGAUUUUUGUAGUUGCAACUUGACUUGAGUUUUUUUUGGCUUUCAAAAGCCUUUAUCAUUCUUUGGGAGACAACAUCUAAGUAUAUAAGGCGUAAAAGUUGAAAAUAAUCAUGAGGAUUUGUAAGGGAGUUAUAGGUGUUAGUUCUCGUUGGACUCAGAGUAGAAUUGAGGACGGAUAUCGUAUUAAUUCCUAAAUAUGUCCUUGCUUGAUACAGAGCAGGAUUUAUGUUUAGUUCCUUAAUUUCAUAGCUACACUCGACAAAUUUAAUAAAACGUCAAAAUAGAAAAUUUACUCUCCUCCCGGACAUUCUUCAAAUUGUCAGGGUUAUCAUGUCAUCGUAUUAUUUGAGUUUCUUGUAAUAACUAGUGCAUGUGCUCAUAAAAGACGGAGAGUAACAAUAAGGGUUUACCCGGGAUUUAUAAAUGUAAGUCUUUGUUGGACUCGGAGUAGAAUCGGAAUCAACAUCGCAGUAAUUCCACUAUAUAUGUGCUUGCUACAUAAGGAGUGGGAUUUGUGCUUAUAUCUUGUCUCUCAUAGCUGAAUGUAGCUAAAAUAAUAAAACAAUAUGAAAGCUAAGUAGCUCUUUUCUCAAAUAUUCUUCUAAUGGUGAGGGUUAAUUUUCAGUUUCUUUUAUAAGGGCAGGCCAUUUUUCGCACAGUUCUAGUCGUCUUAAAUCUUCAGUCAGUUUUCAAGAAUAAACUGGACUGUCCAAAGAUCAUUAAGAAGGGUUAGUUGAAUAUUCAUAUGAAACUAUUGGGGUUCAGUAUCUCCAACAGGAUUAGGAACCAUUGGUCUAUACAAUAGACAUAUCAUUACGUGUACAAGCAUGAUAAAUGUAGUAAGCCAACUUUACCCAAUAUUAUUGUUGAGUUAUCAACUUAUGACGUUUCUACUGAUAUACUAUUCUAUUGAUAUCAAUAUUAACAUAUUUUAUACAAAGGUACAUUCUAAUAUUAAAUACAUACAGGUUUUAAUUUUUCUAUGCGAUGCAAGACCAAAACCAAGACGACAAAUACCAUAAUAUAUUAACAUAUAAAAUCAAUACACUUUACAUAACAUUAAUGUACAUCAAUGACCGAUAAUUAUGUAAUACUAAUAUUAUAUAACCCGUUUUUUAUGAUAUUCAGGUUCAUAUCUUUUUAGAAAGCGUCUAUUUAUUAUAAUUUCUUUCGUUCUAAAUCAACAAAGUAGGAUCUUCCUUCUUCUCGAGUGUUUGUAAUUACGUCAAAUGUGCUCCACAUCUUUGUAUUUUGGACCCUAAGGUAAUCUCCAGGAAUCAGAGGGUUUCCAUCUAUAGAGGUGCGAUCGUAGUAUUUUUUUGGAUGUGUAUUUCUCUCUCUUCUUCAUUCCACCCUCUCAAACAUGGAAGGAGACAUGCAUUUAUAGACAAUGGUAAUGUGGGCCCCAAGUUCUUUGUGAGUAACCAAAUACCAUUGGGCCAGACUAAGUCCGACAGGUCUGGGUGUAUUUCUCCAUUCCAGGAGUGAUGCACGAAAUGAAGCCCAGUCGUUAUAUUUUUGAGGAUCAUCUUCCUGGAUUUGAUGGCAGUCUCUGCAUGCCCGUUUGUGGGAAUGUGAGCUCAUGCUUGUUGCGUAAAUCUUUUGCAAAAGUCCCACAAUUCCACCCGGAAUUAAUAUGCAUCGUCAGUUCGAAUAUGCAUUGGAAGCGCCCAAUCUUCAAACCACGUCAGCAUGAUAUCAGUGACUGACUUCGUUGAAGUUUUUCGUAACUGACUUAUGAUGGACCACCCUGAAUAGCGGUCCAAGACGACGAGAUAUGUUGUCCGUUGACCUCCAUUAUUUCAGAACACACGGAUUCCAAGGGCUUUGACGCUGAAGAUUGCUGCAGUGAUUCUAGAGGUUAUGAAGAGCCUAGCUCUUGGCAUGAAUUAAAUCUUCAUAUCAACUCUUAAAUUUAAUUUGACCUUCUAGGUACUAUGCUUUUUUUACUGUGGACAGAUGUGUUCCCCGUCAUUGAUACUAUCUUACGUAUGAUAGAUUUAGUUUGGGAGACUGGAAUGACUUGAGGAAAUGAUUCAGAUCUGGAGUAACGUAUGCCGUGAUGUCUAUUUCGGAGACUUCUCCAUUUUUGAUACGAAGAUAGACAGGACCCAUGCAUCUCAAGCUUGAAUUGUUCCCUUCUGUGAUGGAGAGUCUUCUAGUUGAGUCUAUUUCAAUGUUGUACUCCAUUACCAAGUCGAGAGAAAUAAGAGACUCAGUAGCUCCUGCAUCAGGCAGAGCUUUCAAAAUAAAAGGUUAAACUUCAGCCUCGAGAUAUUGAGUGACUUGAUCAAUGGAUACAGUUUUCGCUCGGAUUGUUAACUUUUUGAUUGGCUAGGUCUUGAUUCUGCACAGGAGAAUUAAGCAUCAUCAGGACAUUUAAAAAGUCGAUGUGAUGUAUUUGACUCGCCACAUCUAUAGCAUUUACGUUUAAUUCCCGUGGAUGAUGAUGUUUCUUGUUUGGUGUAUGAUUUUGUGUUUUUCUUUGAGGAGCCUUUGGAAAUUGUCGGAUUUCCUCCUUAUGAUAUUUCCUGUGAAUUAUCUGAAUGCCUGUCCUUUCUUUUAUUAUCGUAUUCAGGAUUGUUAAUACAUGGUGAUGGGCGAGGACUGUCACUUACAUUUGAUCCCAUAAACUCAAUUUCUUGAAACACGUCAGAAUUCAAUGUAUAUAUUCCUGUUGUUUAAAAUCUAUUUUUGGUAUUAGAACAAGAACAGGGUGCAGUCUUGCCAACUUAAUAAGAUCAUAAAUUGACAUUGUCUAUCCUGGAUUUGUAACCAUCCAACGUUGUACUUGUAUACCGAAAUUAGACUUGGAAGGCCCUAACACAGAAACAUCCAAGGGCUGCAAUUUAUAGGAAGUUUGAGGAGGAAUAACAACUCCAUUAUCGUUUAAUUGCUCCCAAUAAAGUUAUUUGUGGAAUAUUAUGCAGUUUCGAAGCUUUGCAAAUACUCAUUCCUCCGGAACGUCCUCAAAUACCUUUUGAAGAUCCUCUUAGGGAUAUUUUUGGGGGCGUUUUCUCAUAUCAACUCAUAAUCAUUUUAAUACACUUGCCGCUUAAUGUGAAAUAAAAAAAAGUACCUGCAUAUUAUCACUUUCAUUUGGGGAGGGUGAAACAGCACAGGUGAGUUUUAAACUAAGAAUUUGUAUUUGAAAUUACUCCACAAGACGCAUUUUAAAUUAUAAAUUAAGGAAAAAAAUAUGGUAAAAAAUUUUUUUUACAACUUUUUUUCGCUAUAAAUAAUUGUUCAUAGAGUAAGAAAAAUUUUAUAAGCAAUAUCCCACGAAUAAAACUAAAGCUUGAUUAGAUAUUUCUCUUAACAUCUUUUAACAAUUAUAAGAAAAGUACCAUCAAACUUUCAUGGGCUCUAAAAUAUUGCACGUGCAUCCCUUAAUAAAUCAAUUGCAUAGCAAAAGAUAUACUGUCCUAUGGACAAGAUUGAACUUGAUCAAACCUAAACAUGAUAGUUUCUGAAAGAAGAGAAUGUACUUUUCCACACACAGUUUGAAUUCUCCCGGUUCUCCCCUAAUAUAUUAAGUAUGCAUUUUCAGGCAAAUGUCGCAAAUGGUCCGUUUGGCAAAUUCUUAAUCGGAGAAAUUCCAUUCAGGGAUUUUUUUUUGGACAAUAGUCUGCUCACACAUAUAAACUACAGUGCCAUGUUUCAUAGACAUAUUUUAGUCAAUUAACUAGGCUAACUGUUCAAGUUUUUGGGAUGAUUGGACAGGCUUAGCUAUAGCUUAGAACAUUUAUUUGAUUAAAGAACCUUAUACUUCCCCUGAUAUGUCCCUUUCAACCAAAAAAUCUAUUAAUUUCUAAUUCUUUUAUUGGCACGGAGAAGUCGUUCCGAGGCGAUUCUUCGAUUUGGUGGGAUUCUCCUGGAUCAUCUUCUCCAAACUAGACAGGAACUCCGUACCCAUCUUUAAACUGUGCCCUCCACUUCCUGCUUUAAUGGAGAAUCUUCUUCCAUGAUUCUUAAUAUUUGCCACCUUGAAACAAGGCUUCUGCAGCAGUUCAGGGUGUCCAUACUCCUUGCCUCCUCAACUUCAGCAUCUAGGACAUCUGAAAUGCGCUGCCUAUUAGUUUCUUGCUUACUCAUGAUGAGGAAAUGUUUCUACAUGUAUAUGAAAUAAACAAAUGACUUGGGGUUUUAUCUUUUUGUUGAUUUUUGUUCAAGAUUGUUUAUAUGUUGACGCAUCCCACAUCAAAUAUAUGUAUAUACAUACACAUAAAACAUUGCCCCUUUCUUUAUAUGGAGUUA
rnacentral:lncRNA from 1 species